AAACACACACAAUGGAAUACUACUCAGUCUUUAAAAGGAAGGAAAUCCUGACAUUUGUGACAACAUAGAUGGACCUGGAGGACAUUAUGCUAAGUGAAAUAAGCCAGGCACAGAAAGGUAAACACUGCACAGAAAGAUAAAUACUGCGUAAUCUCACCUAUAUGUAGAAUCUUAAAAAGGUGAACUUAGAUAAGCAGAGAGUAGAAUAGUGAUUACGGGGAGCGGGGGUGCGAUGGGGGUAGUUGGCAGACGUUGGUCAAAAGAUACAGAAUGUCAGUUAGAUAGAUGGAACAAGUUCCAGAGAUCUAUUUUACAACAUUUGACACGUUAAUAAUGUGUCAUAUUCCUAGAAUAUUAUGAAGAGUAAAUGUUUAGUAUCCUCUCUUAUGAUAAGUAUAAAAAGAUAAGUAUGAGAUAACACAUAGUUUAAUUAGCUCAAUUAGCCAUUCUUCAGUGUAUGCCUAUUUAAAAACAUUUUACACAAUAGAGGUACAAAAUUUUUGGGAAUUAAAAUAAUUUUAAAAACAUAGUCAGCAACUACCAGAAGCAAUUGAUGAAGCCAGGGGCAGAACUGAUAAUUGAAAACAAGGUGCUCCAGAUGGAAAAGUCAAGACAAAUAGACAGUUAUUCGGGCCUCACUAUGAGUGUCCAGGAGACAGAUUAGGAGGGCUGACAUACACUGGGAACUUAAUAUGCGGCUGGCACUCUCAAGAGUGUUCCAGAAACAAUGGUUCGUUUUGUUCUCACAAUACCUCCAUGAAGUAAGGAGUAUUGCAACCCUUACUUCACAUCUGAGGCUAUCUAGGCACAGAGAGGUUAAGCAACGAGCUCUAAGUCACACAGCCGCUCUGAUGUGACCCACGACCUCCCUUAGCCGAAUCUACAGAACUCCGAGUCGCUGGUGUCAGAGAACCUGGACCCCCAGCCCCCAAACGCACGGGGAGACGGGAGGUAGGCAUGGGGACCGCGGGGACAGCCAGAGCCAGCCCACGCACAGCUCCUGCGCCACGCAGGGCUGCCUGCAAAGGUUCACCGAGGCUGCGUGGUGCGGGCGGGGAGACGGUUGGAAAGGCAGCAGGGCCCAGGUGCGAGCGGGUGGUUUUCAGCCUCCGCUCAUCAAAGGCGAGUGGGGGAGGCGAGGGCAAGGUAUUGGUCCUGGUCGCCGAUUUGCCGCGUCCCAAGAGGACAAACUGGACCCAGGGCCCUGGGGGAGGCGCGGUGUCCUGCCAGGACCUCUGUCGGCAUCUGGUGGUCACCGGGGCACACGACAGCCGAGGCGGAGCGCGCGGGGCUCUAGGGCCUGGCUGCCAGGGGCCCGGGCCGGGCGGGAGGUGAGGGGGCGACCAAGGCCUGGGCGUCACGUGGAGCAGCGGUUCCGGGGCGUCUUCCUGCAGCUGCCAGCAGCCGGCGGCGGGCUCGGAGACGCGCACGCUGGAAUCUUGACCGAGACAGCACAUCCAGACAGCACAUCCGCGGGGCGCUCCUGUCACCAUGGUGCACUAGUUGUCUCCAGUUUGGACUCCAGAAGGCCACAGGAGUUGGUGGCUGGGACCCCAAAGGCAAGCGUCAGGGAAACCAGCGAGGUGACUGGAAGGAAGCAAGAGGCGGGAUGCAGGAAUUAGGUUUGUGGGUCUCACCUGGGAAGGGUCUGUAGUAUUCUUAGCUGGGCUGCAUUCCAAAGAAAUGAAAUUCGACUCUCUGGGUAUUGGGGGUGCAGGCCUUGGCAUUUAGUAAAUGCCCCCUGUGCGAUUUUCAGGAGCUGCCACUGGUGAGAGCCGUAGCCCUAGGUGAUGAGCUGAGUGCAGAUUUCAGGUGCAGGAGGAUGUGGGUUUGGGGGAGGGGCACGGUGCUCUGAAGACAUUGGCCUGGAUCCUGAGUACCAUGGCGAUUUCAUGACUGAUUACAUGGCCUUCUUGGAAAGCCAUUUGAUAACACUCGUGCCCUGGAAAUGCUGAUGUGGUCUCAGGGUGUAACGUGUUGAGUUGUGAUCACUGGAGAAGAGAAGCCUCCUCAGUAUGGGGCUGUCUCUGCUGCCCAGCCUGCUGCCAGUACCCUGCCGGGUCUCCUAGGCGGAGUACUAGCAAGAUAUCUGGACAAAUUGAAAUGGUCCUACAGACACAUAAAUCAGUAUGUCUUCCUCCCGAGAUGAACUUUAGUUUGGGGGGAAGAGGGCUUGUAGGUAUGGAUGUAGAGAGGGUAUUGAGAGAAAGAACCAUUCCUGUCUGCAGCAUCACACACAUGUCCAGCACCUAGAGGUCAGCCUUUUCCCUGUACCUUCUCCUCACUGCAUCCCCUUCCUCACUCCUUUCCAAACCCUGACUAUCUGAGAUGCCUACAUCAUAUCUCUUCCUUUGUAAACAGACAUACUGAAUUAAGAGUUCAUCUGAUCACCUAGUGCCAUACCCCUUAGCUUCAAAAUUCAUACGUUUUUAAAUCCAUGCAUACUGGGGACAUUGAAAAUGCAUGAAAAUAUGUAUUGUAAAAAAAGGGGGAGUGCAGCCGGUGCCGCGGCUCACUAGGCUAAUCCUCCGCCUUGCGGCGCCGGCACACCAGGUUCUAGUCCCGGUUGGGGUGCCGGAUUCUGUCCCGGUUGCCCUUCUUCCAGGCCAGCUCUCUGCUGUGGCCAGGGAGUGCAGUGGAGGAUGGCCUAAGUACUUGGGCCCUGCACCCCAUGGGAGACCAGGAUAAGUACCUGGUUCCUGCCAUCGGACCAGCGCGGUGUGCUGGCUGCAGUGCACCGGCUGCGGCGGCCAUUGGAGGGUGAACCAACGGCAAAGGAAGACCUUUCUCUCUGUCUCUCUCACUGUCCACUCUGCCUGUCAAAAAAAAAGGGGGGGGGGAGUGCAUAGCUUUCAAAAAUUUUUUUGUCCCAGAUAUACUUACUUUUUUAGAAGAUUAUUUAUUUGAAAGGCAGAGUUACAGAGAGGGAAAGGCAGAGAGAGAGGGAGGGAGAAAAUCUUUCAUCCGCUGGUUCACGCCCCAAAUGGCCACAAUGGCCAAGGCUUGGCCAGACUGAAACCAAGAACCAAGAGCUCCUUCCAGGUCUCCCAUGUGGAUGGCAGGGGCCCAAGCACUUGGGCCGUCUUCUGCUGCCUUCUCAGGCGCAUUAGCAGGGAGCUGGAUCAGAAGUGAAGCAGCCAGGGCUCAAUCCCAUGUCCAUAUGGGAUGCAGGUGGUGGCUUAACCCGCUAUGCCACAGCGCCAGUCCCCAGAUAUACUUAUUUUUAAGAACACUUUGUAUGUGCUUUCUGAAGUCUCCUCAAACAAAACGCAUGGUAUUUCAUUACCAAGUGAUUUGGAAAAUAAUUUUCCUAACACCUACUCUGUAUUCCUCAAGCCAUUCCUGGGCCUUCCCCAAGCCUUAACCUCUCCUCAACCAAAUAUCUGCCUUCACUUUGCUUCUGAAAACCAUCCCAUUCUUAAUCCAAUGUGAAAUCAUUUUUUUCCAAGACAUAUUACUAAGUAAAGUGUCAAUCAGGUACCCUUACACCUGAAAUUCAAACCAUCCAUAAUCUUCAGCAUAUCCCUCAGCCUCUACGCAUUGAAUCUGUUAUCAUUUAUAAGGGGUAUUUAAAAAGUGCACAAGUAAUGCAUAUUAGGAAUAAAAGUGUGGAUUUCAAAGUCUGCUGUACCA
ensembl:lncRNA